AGUUUUGACUAGAAUAUUAGAUCUAGAGAUAUGGUACAGGAGAUUGUAGUUUGGUGAUUGGCCUAUAGAUCCAGACAUGGUAACACUAAAGUAUGGCAGUUUAGACUAGAAUAUUAGAUCUAUCUAGAGAUAUGGUAUAGCCUUAUAGGAGAUUGUAGU
rnacentral:sRNA from 1 species